rnacentral:rRNA from 1 species
GACGAACGCUGGCGGCGUGCUUAACACAUGCAAGUCGAACGGUGAAGCGCCUUCCUUUUUGGUGGGUGUGGAUGAGUGGCGAACGGGUGAGUAACACGUGAGUAACCUGCCCCCUUCUUCUGGAUAACCGCAUGAAAGUGUGGCUAAUACGGGAUAUUCUGGGUCUGUCGCAUGAUGGGUCUGGGAAAGAUAUUGUUUCGGUGGGGGAUGGGCUCGCGGCCUAUCAGCUUGUUGGUGGGGUGAUGGCCUACCAAGGCGGUGACGGGUAGCCGGCCUGAGAGGGUGGACGGGCACACUGGGACUGAGACACGGCCCAGACUCCUACGGGAGGCAGCAGUGGGGAAUAGUGCACAAUGGGCGGAAGCCUGAUGCAGCGACGCCGCGUGAGGGAUGGAGGCCUUCGGGUUGUGAACCUCUUUCGCCAGUGAAGCAGGCCUGCCUCGUUUGUGGGUGGGUUGACGGUAGCUGGAUAAGAAGCGCCGGCUAACUACGUG